rnacentral:rRNA from 1 species
UACAGAGGGUGCAAACGUUGUUCGGAAUUACUGGGCGUAAAGCGCGUGUAGGCGGCAGCGCAAGUCGGAUGUGAAAUCCCAUGGCUCAACCAUGGAAGUGCACCCGAAACUGCGUCGCUAGAGUCCUGGAGAGGAAGGUGGAAUGCUUGGUGUAGAGGUGAAAUUCGUAGAUAUCAAGCGGAACACCGGUGGCGAAGGCGGCCUUCUGGACAGUGACUGACGCUGAGACGCGAAAGCGUGGGGAGCAAACAGG